rnacentral:lncRNA from 1 species
AAAAUCUAAAAAUAGCUACUAAAAGUCUCUUUUUGGGGCUGGGCAUGGUUGCUCACACCUGUAAUCCCAGCACUUUGGGAGGCCAAGGCGGGCAUGGUGGCACACGCCUGUAAUCCCAGCUAUUCAGGAGGCUGAGGCAGGAGAAUCGUUUGAACCUGGGAGGCGGAAGUUGCAGUGGGCCAAGAUCGCACCACUGCACCACAGCCUGGUCAACAGGGAAAGACUCCUAUCUCAAAAAAAAAAAAAAAAAUUAUCUUUUUGGGAGGAACUACAUAACAAAAAAAAGUCUCUCCUUCAAAUCUACUCUGGGCUAUUUUUUUCACUAAUACUAUACUAUAUAUGAGACAUUAGGUCCCUUUAUCCCUAAAUAAUUAGUGUGAAUUUACUAAGAUUAAAGAUAGUCUCUUAUAUAAUCACAGUAUAAUUAUCAUAUUCAGGAGACUUAGCCCUAAUAUAAUAUUAUCUAACAUACAAUCCAUUUUCAAAUUUUGUCAACUGUCUCCCAAAACACCCUUUGUGAAUUUUUUUUCCCUGAGCCAAG